rnacentral:rRNA from 1 species
UGCGGAGGGUGCAAGCGUUAUCCGGAUUCACUGGGUUUAAAGGGUGCGUAGGUGGGCAGGUAAGUCAGUGGUGAAAUCUCCGGGCUUAACUCGGAAACUGCCAUUGAUACUAUCUGUCUUGAAUACCGUGGAGGUCAGCGGAAUAUGUCAUGUAGCGGUGAAAUGCUUAGAUAUGACAUAGAACACCAAUUGCGAAGGCAGCUGGCUACACGAAUAUUGACACUGAUGCACGAAAGCGUGGGGAUCAAACAGG